rnacentral:rRNA from 1 species
CCUACGGGUGGCAGCAGUGGGGGAUAUUGCACAAUGGGGGAAACCCUGAUGCAGCGACGCCGCGUGUGGGAAGACGGUCCUCUGGAUUGUAAACCACUGUCCCCAGGGACGAAGAUGACGGUACCUGGGGAGGAAGCUCCGGCUAACUACGUGCCAGCAGCCGCGGUAAUACGUAGGGAGCGAGCGUUGUCCGGAAUUACUGGGGGUAAAGGGAGCGUAGGCGGGCGAGAAAGUUGAAUGUUAAAUCUACCGGCUUAACUGGGAGCUGCGUUCAAAACGUCUUGUCUUGAGUGAAGUAGAGGCAGGCGGAAUUCCUAGUGUAGCGGUGAAAUGCGUAGAUAUUAGGAGGAACACCAGUGGCGAAGGCGGCCUGCUGGGCUUUAACUGACGCUGAGGCUCGAAAGCGUGGGGAGCAAACAGGAUUAGAUACCCUAGUAGUC